AGGGCUGUGGCUCAGUGGUAGAGCAUCUGCUUUGUAUGCAGAAGGUCCUGGGUUCAAUUCCUAACAUCUCUA